GACUGUCCUGAGGCUUGCUAAGUUUAUAGAUCACCAGUUGCCAGAGUUCCUUUUGCUUUUUACCCUGGAGGGGAAAAAUAAAAAAAUAAAACAUCCACUUACAGAUCAAUUGCAUUGUCUGCUGCUCAACAAUAUAUGGGCCUAGAGCAGGAGGCUGUGAGCCAGGCCUCAUUACUAAAGAUCCCUGCAAAAAUGGGUGCAACCAGACAGUCUCUCCCUCCAAACUCCUGACCCAGGAUUGCUGUCCAUGCAGCUGGAACAAUGAGCACUUCUGGGGGUCCUCCCCACAUCAGUCUAGGGCCAAAGGAUAUCAGCUAGGGCCCCGAAAGCAAUACAAGGUCUUAUACCACUUUUUUAUUUUUCUUGCUUGGCUUUCUUUGAAAUUUACAUCCCAGAAGAAUGUCCUGGAACUUGUAUAGAUAAGGGAGUUCCUUGGGAGAGAUGGAAAGGGGAGGAAGAGGAAAUGGGAAGAGAUUGGCGUGGGUGCAAGGAGGAGGAGGCAAUGAUCGUUUAAAGGAACCAUGGAGGAUGGAAGUGGGGUGGUGUGCAGAGCUGUGGUGGAGCUCAGCCUCGGAGCUGGGCUCGCCAGGUUUGGACAGGCCCUGGGCUGCAAGCAGGGGAUCCCGUACAUUUGAGGUCCAGACUUUCAAUCCACAGAAGUGUGUGUGUAUCGCCCCACUUGAUCCCAGCUUGCUUUCCUUCAUUCUUUUAUUCAUUCAUCUGAAAGUCCUUAUGAGCAUUUGCUUUGUGCCUGUUACUGGGGACACGGCAGAGUACAAGACAGGCACGUUUCUUCUCUUGGAGAUUUUGACUUGGCAUCAGCCUGUUUGCCUCUGUGAGGAAAGACAGUCGGAGCACCCAUGAGUCGUUCUACUCUCAGAAUCCAGCUCUGCCCAUGGUCUGAUGAAGGCUGAGCCCCAGAGCUGCCAUGUGAGAGGCUGCUUGUCCACAGGCACAACUCCUGCAGGGCACAGCGGAAAGCAAGGAGGCACGCUGCUGGAGAAGGCCGAGCGGCAGUCACCGCCACCCUGCCAAAACCUGCCCUAACAUGGAAAAGACCCGGGCAGCCAGCGGCCUCCUGAAUUAGGUUGUUUGCCAAAGCAAUGCAUGUAGCCCGGAGAGAAGCAGGCUGGGACUGCAGGGCAUGCUACAGCUAUCUUCAAAGAUCUGAAGGAGGUCACAGAGCGGGCACGGUGGAGUGACUCCAAAGAACAAAAGUGGUGAUGCUGGCCAUUUGAACACGCCUAAAAGAAGCUGGGAAGUGCUUCUGUUAAGUGAAAAGGGCCCAGUGCAAAAUGAGAAUGUGGGGCCCAUGUUAAAAACUACUAAGAAUUUCAAGAUGGCAACAGAGCAUUAAGCCAAGGGUGGAACCCUUCUAACUGCAGAGCUCUGUGUGGCUUUACAGAUCCCAUGGAAUAUUCUGGUCUUUUGCAGAUAUUAAAAGCCCAGUUCAAUAUUUUAUUAAACUCCAAGCUCUCAAUCACUACCUUUGCCCUGGCUGGGGCUGGGAAACUUGCAGAGACUUGCCUUUUCUCUUUGUCCUCCUGGCUGGUCUACUUCCCACUCUUCAUGUUGCUGUUGGCUCCUUCAGGGCUAGCCAGGGGUAGAAGGAGAAGGGCAGUGGAUGGGAAAGGUCUUCCUUAUUUGGCAGGCCCAGGUAGGUGCUCUCUGAGUUGAGCACCCAAGUGCUCCUCCUUUCUUUCAUGGGUAUGUCUCUGGGUUCUUCUAAGCUCCUCCUUUGCAGACUUCCAACUGCAGUUUUCUGGUGCAGGGAUGUCUCCUUUGGCUAGAAAUUAAUGACAUUCUCCCAGCCCAUGGCUGGUGGUUCACUGGAGUCUCCUUCUGCUGGGGUCGUCCACCCUGCACUCCCUAAUUCCUGUGGUCCUCUUGGAUAGAGUUUUCAAUCUGCCUCAUGCUGGUUUCUUCCUCAGGUUCGCAUGUGGACCUUAGGAAAUGUGUUUUUGCCCUGCCAUUCGCAUAGCUCCCUUCAGUCUGCCAGCACAGCUUCUACUCCCUGCCCACAGCCAGAGACUCCCUCCUUCAGAUUUUCUUCCAAGCAGAAUUUUGCUCUGUUGCCCAAGCUGGAGUGCAAUGGUGCAAGCAAGGCUCAGUGCAGCUUCAAUCUUCUAGACUCAAGCAGUCUUCCCAUCUCAGAUCCUGAGUAGCUAGGACCAAAGGCAUGUACUACCACACCUGGCUGAUUUUUUUUUUUUUUUUUUGAGAAAUGGGGUCUCACUUUGUUGCCCAGGCUACAACUUUCUUUCUGAAGAAAGCUUACCAUUUGUUGCUCCUCCCUAAUGGAUAUUUAGUCUUUUCUUAUAUCAUCUGGAGAUGAGUGAUAGAUCAGUGCAAGCGGAACAAAUUAUUGGUGUUGCCCCUUUCUCUAAAUUUGAAGGUAGUUGGCACUUAUUGUGCUUAGUGUUAGGGCUUUAGCAGACAGUGAGACAAUAAAGAGAAGUCCCACUUGAACAUCCUGUUACACAAGUAAUGGACUAAGAAACAUUUGAGGAUAACUACAGCUAUGGAUUCAAUGUUUGUGUCCACCACAAAUUCCUGUGUUGAAUUCCUAACUUCCAAUGUGGCUAUGUUUGGAGAUAGGGCCUUUAUGCAGGUAAUUAAGGUUAAAUUAGGCCAUAAGGGUAGGGACCUGAUCUGGUAGAAUUUGCACCCUUAUUCUUAAUUCCCUUUCUCUCUCAUGUGCCCUUCUCUCUCCACCAUGUGAGGACACAGUGAGAAGGAGGAUAUCUGCAAGCUAGGAAGAGGGCCCUCAACAGAACUAAACUGGCUGGCACCUGGAUCUUGGACUUCCCAACCUUUAGAAUUGUGAGAAAGUAAAUGUGUGUUGUUAAAGCCAGUCUGUCUAUGGCAUUUUGUUAGUCAGCCCGGGUUGAGUAAGAUGACUACUCUGCACUUUGGUGAGUGUUGCCUUUCUAAAUGUGAGCACCUGCCAUUCCUUUAAUCUUCCCCAGCAGACCAAAAUCUCUUUGCUCACCUCUCUGGACAGGCUCUCAUUUGUUACAUAUUGGAGUCACAUUUUUCAAAGGAAUUGUUCUCUGUGGAGAACAAUGAGCAUAAGAGAAAAUUGUGUUAAGUCACUUCACUCUUGAAAACCCAUUUGGUUGUUCUUAAAAUGUAAAUAUAAAAUAUGAGAUUAGUAGGAUAAAGAAGGGUUGGAUGCACAAACACAUAACGAGGAUUACUCUCUUGUAAACACAAUUUAGAUGGUUGUCUUUCUCUUUUGCCGAGGUUGCAUGGUAGCAUUUGGGUAACGUAAAUGCACUUUUGAUUCAAUGUGACUGUAUUUAACUUCAAGGAUGGUGCCCGGAUCUAAACAUGCUAUCCCAGGGUGGUCUCCUGAGCAAAAGGAAGAGGACUCUCAACCCCAGGACCCAGAAGCUAUAGUUCUCUGAAUGAGACUGAAAGUGCAGCGAUGCUGGUGGCCUAAAUCCAUCCUGCUGUCUCAUUUGGUAUCUCAUUUUCUCUAUUUUAUCCUUACUGUAUGCUUUUAAAAUGCAGGUACAGAACUCAUACUUAUAUUUUUAAUUGUCUUUCUUUCGGAUUCUGCCCUUUGAUGUAUUAAAAUAUAUUUAUCAAUUUUAAAGUA